UGUGCAGAAGCUUUUUAUCUUCAUGAGGUCCCAGUAGUUCAUUUUUGCUUUUAAUUCCCUUGCCUUUGGGCAUGUGUCAAGUGAGAAAUUACUACAGCUGAGGUCAGAGAAGUUGGUGCCAGCUUUCCCCUCU